GACGAACGCUGGCGGCGUGCUUAACACAUGCAAGUCGAACGGAAAGGCCCUGCUUUUGUGGGGUGCUCGAGUGGCGAACGGGUGAGUAACACGUGAGUAACCUGCCCUUGACUUUGGGAUAACUUCAGGAAACUGGGGCUAAUACCGGAUAGGAGCUCCUGCUGCAUGGUGGGGGUUGGAAAGUUUCGGCGGUUGGGGAUGGACUCGCGGCUUAUCAGCUUGUUGGUGGGGUAGUGGCUUACCAAGGCUUUGACGGGUCGCCGGCCUGAGAGGGUGACCGGCCACAUGGGGACUGGGAUACGGCCCAGACUCCUACGGGAGGCAGCAGUGGGGAAUAUUGCACAAGGGGCGGAAGCCUGAUGCAGCAACGCCGCGUGCGGGAUGACGGCCUUCGGGUUGUAAACCGCUUUCGCCUGUGACGAAGCGUGAGUGACGGUAAUGGGUAAAGAAGCACCGGCUAACUACGUG
rnacentral:rRNA from 1 species